GCUGCAAGUUGCAUCUGGAGCCAUCAGUCCCCUCCUUCCUUCAGUUCUGAAGCUGUGUCUGAUUCACUGUGACAGCCCCUCUCCCAUGAGUCCCAUCAUCCCUCCCUGCAUCUCACUUCUGUUGGGAAUUCCCAAAGUUCAUCAUGAGAUGACAAUGCAAGAAGUCCCUUCCCAGGUGCUGGCAUCUUGAUCCUGGACUUCCCAGCCUCCAGAACUGUGAGAAACAAAUUUCUGUUUAUUAUAAAUUACCAUGUCUAUAGUAUUCUGUUAUAGCAGCACAAAGUGGACUAAGACAUCAUUCAAAAAAAUUUUAAGUACCUACUGAUGAUAGGGAGUGUGCUUAGG
rnacentral:lncRNA from 1 species